rnacentral:lncRNA from 1 species
GGAUUUGUAUCCCUAAAUGCAAUGUCUUUGGCAGAAGGAGAGCCUUGCUGAAGUGAGAAAGCAGAAAGAUCAGAGAGGGUUCUCGGGAAGGUCUCCUGUGGUGCAGAGCUGUCAGUGCCUGGGAGGUGAGAGGGGGCCCGGCCUUGGCCGGGGUGGAGCCCCAGCAGAGCCCCGGCAGAGGCCGGAGCAGGCUGAGCCCCAGCAGAGGCAGGCUGGAAGGAGGCCCUUGGAGCUGCAAGAGGCAGCAGCCGGGCCCUGGGUGCCUGUUCCUGGCAGCGGGCAAAUCCUCCGCUCUCAGAGCCCAGGUGGCAGCUGGCUGCUGCCGAGGGGAAGCGCAGCCGUGCUGGGCACAGCCCAGCCUGGAGGCAUUGGCCGUCUGGAGUGUGCCCAGGAGCAGAGAAAGGCCCAGGGCAGCCGAGGGCCAUUGGGGCUGCCUGAGGAUUCCUCCUCUUCUGCCGGCUGCCCUGCAACUCCUGGCAAAGGUCAUCAGUGUGUGCAGCACUCUGGGCACCGGGGCAGGGAGCCGGGCUGCUCGGCAGGCUGGAGCACAGGGCAGCCUCCUUCAGGCCCGGCUCUUGUGCCAGGAGAAGCGAGGCCAGCGUGAGGCAGGGACAGCUUGGCAGGACACAUCUGCAGGAGCCAGCGCCUCACGCAGCUCUGGGAGGAAGUGACUGCAAUCCUGCAGUUCUGCACUGAGCCAGAGCAAAGGUGUGAGAUGAAGAGUGUUUGGCAAGAAUAUUCAGGCCCACCAGGCCAGCCUGCUUUGUGUACUCUGGCACACAGCAAGCACUGUGCAAUGCAGCUCUGAGCUGCUGGGAGAGAGGGAGUCGGGGAUGUGCCUGACGGUUUUGCUUAAGUAGUGAACUGAUUAGGAAGGGAGCAGAAUAAUUUCAGUAGGCAAUUUGUGUUUUCUUCAUUCAUUUCAGAAAGUAAGUUAUAAUGUGUCUUCACUCAUCAAUAGCACUUGCAGGACUUUAUGAGAAAAUGUUUGUGUUUGAUUCCCAGAAUAGGAAGGGCAGGCAAUGGGAAAAUAUUAAAGUGUAAAAAGGGGACUUAGUCUUGUGAAUUCCUUUUCCUUUAGCACGCAGUGCUUAGUCCUGUAUUACCCCAUUGCUGUGCUUAAUGUGUGCAUGGGGCUAUCUUGGCCUUGAGAACAGAGAGAGUGUUCCUUCUAAGAACGUAGCUGGAACGCAUUUAAGGGAAGGAAAGUGUUUUUAGGAGGCUCUUGACCAGAAAAGGAGAAUUUGAGGAAUGGGAUAUUUUGCAAACCACUGUGGCAGGAACUGGAGUUGUGUCCAAGGCCCUGUCAUAUUUGAUCCAUGUUUGAGCAGGUCAACGAGAAAUGAAGAUAAGUGUAUUGUUCAAUGCAUUGGAACUUAACCUGGUACUGGAAUUAAUUACCAAUAUAGCCCCAAGGGACAUGCCUGGGCUUGUCUGGCCCCUGCUGCAUGACUAAAGGGCGGCAACUGUGGUGUUUACACCUCAGACACCUUUUUGGCUAAGCUGGAUGCUGCAGCUGGGUGCUAGAGACAAGUCCAGACAUGCAGGAGCUCAGGUUUACCUUGGUGGAGAAGGUUUAGGGCGAGGAUGAAGGAAAGGAUUUG